UGUCCCUGACGUGGGUAGAGUGGCAUCUGGGUGGCAGUGUCCAUCUCAUAUCAGCAGGGACAGAGCAACACCUUGUUUAUCCCAGCUUGGCUUUUGGUCUGUGCCCAUGCCUGGUUCAUGUCUUGGACACAUGG